rnacentral:rRNA from 1 species
UACGUAGGGCGCAAGCGUUGUCCGGAUUUAUUGGGCGUAAAGAGCUCGUAGGCGGUCUGUCGCGUCGAAUGUGAAAACCCGGGGCUCAACCCCGGGCCUGCAUUCGAUACGGGCAGACUAGAGUUCGGUAGGGGAGUCUGGAAUUCCUGGUGUAGCGGUGAAAUGCGCAGAUAUCAGGAGGAACACCGGUGGCGAAGGCGGACUCUGGGCCGAUACUGACGCUGAGGAGCGAAAGCGUGGGGAGCGAACAGG